CACAGAAGACUUGCAGGAUUUUGCCCUACAUGCCCCAGGACAUCUAGCAGAUUAGAUUGUACAGAGAAUUAACACCCUUUCAUGAAAAUGCCAUGUCAUCUCACUUAAAUGUCUUAUCUGAAGUAAACAGCAAUUGGAGCAGUAUGAGGCCUCCCAGGAGGCUAACAGAGCACGACCAACUACCAGAUUUGAAAUGAAAGUCUAGCCUUGGCCUCCUUGAGCAAAGAGACUAUUUGGUUUGGCCAAUGUACCACCACAGGA